rnacentral:siRNA from 1 species
UGGGUUACGGUACACGCUGCG